GUGGGGAAUUUUGGACAAUGGGCGCAAGCCUGAUCCAGCCAUUCCGCGUGCAGGAUGAAGGCCUUCGGGUUGUAAACUGCUUUUGUACGGAACGAAAAGCCUCUGGUUAAUACCCGGGGGUCUUGACGGUACCGUAAGAAUAAGCACCGGCUAACUACGUGCCAGCAGCCGCGGUAAUACGUAGGGUGCGAGCGUUAAUCGGAAUUACUGGGCGUAAAGCGUGAGCAGGCGGUGAUGUAAGACAGUUGUGAAAUCCCCGGGCUCAACCUGGGAACUGCAUCUGUGACUGCAUUGCUGGAGUGCGGCAGAGGGGGAUGGAAUUCCGCGUGUAGCAGUGAAAUGCGUAGAUAUGCGGAGGAACACCGAUGGCGAAGGCAAUCCCCUGGGCCUGCACUGACGCUCAUGCACGAAAGCGUGGGGAGCAAACAGGAUUAGAUACCCUUGUAGUCC
rnacentral:rRNA from 1 species